rnacentral:tRNA from 1 species
GCGGCGAUGGUCCAGUGGCUAAGACCCCGGCCUUCCAAGCCUCAAGUCCUGAUCUGCAGGACGAGGAUUGAGAAGAGCUCUGCUCUUCGACGAAGUUAGCCGGUGACCCGGGUUCAAAUCCCGGUCGCCGCA